rnacentral:rRNA from 1 species
UACGUAGGGUGCGAGCGUUGUCCGGAAUUAUUGGGCGUAAAGGGCUCGUAGGCGGUCUGUCGCGUCGGGAGUGAAAACUCAGGGCUUAACCCUGAGCCUGCUUCCGAUACGGGCAGACUAGAGGUAUGCAGGGGAGAACGGAAUUCCUGGUGUAGCGGUGGAAUGCGCAGAUAUCAGGAGGAACACCGGUGGCGAAGGCGGUUCUCUGGGCAUUUCCUGACGCUGAGGAGCGAAAGUGUGGGGAGCGAACAGG